rnacentral:rRNA from 1 species
CCUACGGGAGGCAGCAAUGGGGAAUAUUGGGCAAUGGGCGCAAGCCUGACCCAGCAACGCCGCGUGAAGGAAGAAGGCUUUCGGGUUGUAAACUUCUUUUGUCAGGGACGAAGCAAGUGACGGUACCUGACGAAUAAGCCACGGAUCACUACGUGCCAGCAGCCGCGGUAAUACGUAGGUGGCAAGCGUUAUCCGGAUUUAUUGGGUGUAAAGGGCGUGUAGGCGGGAAUGCAAGUCAGAUGGGAAAACUAUGGGCUCAACCCAUAGCCUGCAUUUGAAACUGUAUUUCUGGAGUGCUGGAGAGGCAAUCGGAAUUCCGUGUGUAGCGGUGAAAUGCGUAGAUAUACGGAGGAACACCAGUGGCGAAGGCGGAUUGCUGGACAGUAACUGACGCUGAGGCGCGAAAGCGUGGGGAGCAAACAGGAUUAGAUACCCCUGUAGUC